GUGUAUAUAUCAGAAGACAUGAAUGAUGAUUCUUUUUUUUUUUGGAGAAACCUAUUUUAUGCAAACAUUGCUCAAAGUUUUUGGAGUUUCCAGAUUUUCGCAAGAUGUUUGAUAGAUGUCGCAUUCCGGAGAAGACAGCAGUGUGGUACGCGUAAGAUCAUGUUAUUUAUUACGAUUUCUCAAGCAUGUUGUAAAAUUCAAAAAAUCUGACGUUGUAUGGAUUUACUGUUUGUUCUUGUGGAACUAUUGUAUUUCUAAGC